rfam:Dipodomys ordii contig_27195, whole genome shotgun sequence.
UGGAAGGUGGCUCAGUGAUAGAGCGCUUGCCUUGCAUGCAUGAGGUCCUGGGUUCAAUUCCCCAGCAUCACAU